rnacentral:rRNA from 1 species
AGAUUGAACGCUAGCGGGAUGCUUUACACAUGCAAGUCGAACGGCAGCGCGGACUUCGGUCUGGCGGCGAGUGGCGAACGGGUGAGUAAUAUAUCGGAACGUGCCCAGUAGCGGGGGAUAACUACGCGAAAGCGUGGCUAAUACCGCAUACGCCCUACGGGGGAAAGGGGGGAUUCUUCGGAACCUCUCACUAUUGGAGCGGCCGAUAUCAGAUUAGCUAGUUGGUGAGGUAAAGGCUCACCAAGGCGACGAUCUGUAGCUGGUUUGAGAGGACGACCAGCCACACUGGGACUGAGACACGGCCCAGACUCCUACGGGAGCAGCAGUGGGGAAUAUUGCACAAUGGGCGCAAGCCUGAUGCAGCAACGCCGCGUGAGGGACGAAGGCCUUCGGGUUGUAACCUCUUUAGUAGGGAAG